ACCUAGAAUUGACCUGUAUGGAAUCACUUUAGUUCCACCUAGUUUGUUAUGUUCAUUCAAGUCAGGUGUUAAGAGUUUAAUCCCCAUUUUUCUUUGCACACUUUACAGAACAGGCCCCUGUUGAUGUUGAUGUAGCAGACAGAAGACACGAAGCAAAAUCAUCCAUUUGAAAGCGUGUUUGUGGUCAACCGAUGGAUAAAAUAAAGGGUUAACUCAUGGCAAGACUAUUAAAGAGUGCGUUUAUCAAAAUGUCAA